AUCACUUCUUGACCUUUUGGCUAAGAUCAAGUGUAGUAUCUGUUCAAAGUCCCAAUAUCUUGGACAACAGACAUAUUUAAAUGAUUAAAUUUUUAAAAAGCUUU
ensembl:snRNA U2 U2 spliceosomal RNA